rnacentral:rRNA from 1 species
UACGUAGGGAGCAAGCGUUGUCCGGAAUCAUUGGGCGUAAAGCGCGCGUAGGUGGCCUCAUAAGUCCGCUGUGAAAGUCAAAGGCUCAACCUUUGAAAGCCGGUGGAUACUGUGGGGCUAGAGUACGGAAGAGGCGAGUGGAAUUCCCGGUGUAGCGGUGAAAUGCGCAGAUAUCGGGAGGAACACCAAUGGCGAAGGCAGCUCGCUGGGACGGUACUGACGCUGAGACGCGAAAGCGUGGGGAGCAAACAGGG